rnacentral:rRNA from 1 species
UACGGAGGGUGCAAGCGUUAUCCGGAAUUACUGGGUUUAAAGGGUGCGUAGGCGGUUAUGUAAGUCAGCAAGUGAAAUUCCACAGCUUAACUGUAGGGACUGCCUUUUGAUACUGCAUGACUUGAACCAAGAUGAGGUAGGCGGAAUGUGGCAUGUAGCGGUGAAAUGCAUAGAUAUGCCAUAGAACACCGAUUGCGAAGGCAGCUUACUAGACUUGUGUUGACGCUGAGGCACGAAAGCGUGGGGAGCGAACAGG